rnacentral:rRNA from 1 species
AUUGAACGCUGGCGGCAGGCCUAACACAUGCAAGUCGAACGAGUGGCGGACGGGUGAGUAAUGUCUGGGAAACUGCCCGAUGGCGGGGGAUAACUACUGGAAACGGUAGCUAAUACCGCAUACCAUCGGAUGUGCCCAGAUGGGAUUAGCUUGUAGGUGAGGUAACGGCUCACCUAGGCGACGAUCCCUAGCUGGUCUGAGAGGAUGACCAGACACAGUGGAACUGAGAAACGGUCCAGACUCCUACGGGAGGCAGGAGUGGGGAAUAUUGCACAAGGGGCGCAAGACUGAUACAGACAUGCCGCGUGUAUGAAGAAGGCGUUCGGGUUGGAAAGUACUUUCAGCGGGGAGGCGUUACUCGCAGCAGAAGCACCGGCUAACUCCGUGACAGCAGCCGCGGUAAUUC